AGAGUUUGAUCAUGGCUCAGAACGAACGCUGGCGGCAGGCCUAACACAUGCAAGUCGAACGCUCGUAGCAAUACGAGAGUGGCAGACGGGUGCGGAACACGUGGGAACAUACCCUUUGGUUUGGAAUAACUCAGGGAAACUUGAGCUAAUACCGGAUAAGCCCGUAAGGGGAAAGAUUUAUCGCCGAAGGAUUGGCCCGCGUCCGAUUAGCUAGUUGGUGAGGUAAUGGCUCACCAAGGCGACGAUCGGUAGCUGGUCUGAGAGGAUGAUCAGCCACAUUGGGACUGAGACACGGCCCAAACUCCUACGGGAGGCAGCAGUGGGGAAUAUUGGACAAUGGGCGCAAGCCUGAUCCAGCCAUGCCGCGUGAGUGAUGACGGCCCUAGGGUUGUAAAGCUCUUUCACCCACGACGAUAAUGACGGUAGUGGGAGAAGAAGCCCCGGCUAACUUCGUGCCAGCAGCCGCGGUAAUACGAAGGGGGCUAGCGUUGUUCGGAUUUACUGGGCGUAAAGCGCGCGUAGGCGGAUCUUUAAGUCAGGGGUGAAAUGCCGGAGCUCAACUUCGGAACUGCCUUUGAUACUGGAGAUCUUGAGUUCGGGAGAGGUGAGUGGAACUGCGAGUGUAGAGGUGAAAUUCGUAGAUAUUCGCAAGAACACCAGUGGCGAAGGCGGCUCACUGGCCCGAUACUGACGCUGAGGCGCGAAAGCGUGGGGAGCAAACAGGAUUAGAUACCCUGGUAGUCCACGCCGUAAACGAUGGAUGCUAGCCGUUAGGCAGCUUGCUGCUUAGUGGCGCAGCUAACGCUUUAAGCAUCCCGC
rnacentral:rRNA from 1 species